AGAACGAACGCUGGCGGCAUGCCUAACACAUGCAAGUCGAACGAGACCGCUGACUUCGGUUGGCGCGUCUAGUGGCGCACGGGUGCGUAACGCGUGGGAAUCUGCCCUUGGGUACGGAAUAACAGUUAGAAAUGACUGCUAAUACCGUAUAAUGACUUCGGUCCAAAGAUUUAUCGCCCAGGGAUGAGCCCGCGUAGGAUUAGCUUGUUGGUGAGGUAAAAGCUCACCAAGGCGACGAUCCUUAGCUGGUCCGAGAGGAUGAUCAGCCACACUGGGACUGAGACACGGCCCAGACUCCUACGGGAGGCAGCAGUGGGGAAUAUUGGACAAUGGGCGAAAGCCUGAUCCAGCAAUGCCGCGUGAGUGAUGAAGGCCUUAGGGUUGUAAAGCUCUUUUGCCCGGGAUGAUAAUGACAGUACCGGGAGAAUAAGCUCCGGCUAACUCCGUGCCGAGCAGCCGC
rnacentral:rRNA from 1 species